AACGAACGCUGGCGGCAGGCCUAACACAUGCAAGUCGAACGACACCUUAGGGUCUGCUUGCGCACGGGUGCGUCGCGCGUGGGACCCUUCCCUUAGAUUCGGAAUAAUACUCCUUCGGGGGUGCUAAUACCGGGUAAUUUCCUCGAACACCAGAUUUAUCGAAUUUGUAUGGGCACGGGUUGGUUUAGCUAGUUGGUAGGGUAAAAGCCUAUCAAGGCGACGAUCGAUAGCUGGGAAGAGAGGAUGAGCAGCGACACUGGGACUGAGACACAGCGCAGACUCCUACGGGAUGCAGCAGAGGGGAAUAUAGGACUAUGGGCGAAAUCAUGAACCAGCUAGGCCGCGUGAGUGAUGAAGGCGGUAGAGUUGUACAGCUCUUUUACACGGGACUAUAAUGACAGUACCGGGAGAAUAAGCACCGGCUAACUCCGUG
rnacentral:rRNA from 1 species